rnacentral:rRNA from 1 species
AAGAGAGAAUGCCGGAAUGAGUAGCGAGAUGGAGGUGGGAAUCCUCCAGGCCGAAUAUCCAAGGAUUCCGGGGUAAAGCUGAUCUGCCCCGGGUAAGUCGGGGCCUAAGGCGAGGCAGAAAUGCGUAGCCGAUGGAAAACAGGUGGAGAUUCCUGUACUGCGGUAUAACAGAACUGUGGGGACGCAUGUCCAAAGCGGGAGCCGGGAAAGGAAAGACCGGUGCAAGCACAGGAGCUGUAAGGGAGGUAAAACCCCCUUAUAAGGCAAUGGUGUGAUGCGGACUGAAAGAAAGUAGGGAAGUCCGCGGAGGAUGUGCCAAGAAAAGCCGCUAUUGUUUAUACCGUACCCGUACCGUAAACCGACACAGGUGGAUGAGGAGAGAAUCCUAAGGCCGGCGGGAGAAGCAUUGUUAAGGAACUCGGCAAAAUGACCCCGUAACUUCGGGAGAAGGGGUGCCUGGGCAACCAGGCCGCAGAGAAUAGGCUCAAGCAACUGUUUAGCAAAAACACAGGUCUAUGCGAAACCGAAAGGUGAGGUAUAUGGGCUGACGCCUGCCCGGUGCUGGAAGGUUAAGAGGAGAGGUCAGGAAACGAAGCCUUGAAUUUAAGCCCCAGUAAACGGCGGCCGUAACGAUAACGGUCCUAAGGUAGCGAAAUUCCUUGUCGGGUAAGUUCCGACCCGCACGAAAGGCGUAAUGAUUUGAGCGCUGUCUCGACAAUGCACCCGGUGAAAUUGAAGUACCAGUGAAGAUGCUGGCUACCUGCGCCAGGACGGAAAGACCCCAUGGAGCUUUACUCCAGCUUGAUACUGGGAUUCGAUGCUGUAUGUACAGGAUAGGUGGGAGACGCUGAAGCAAGGACGCCAGUCUUUGCGGAGUCGCUGUUGGGAUACCACCCUUGCAGUGUUGGAUUUCUAACCUGCGCCCGUGACCCGGGCGGGGGACAAUGUCUGGCGGGGAGUUUGACUGGGGCGGUCGCCUCCGAAAGGGUAUCGGAGGCGCUCAAAGGUUCCCUCAGAAUGGUUGGAAACCAUUCGAAGAGUGCAAAGGCAGAAGGGAGCUUGACUGCGACACCGACGGGUGGAGCAGGUAGGAAACUAGGACUUAGUGAUCCGGUGGUAUUAAGUGGGAAUGCCAUCGCUCAACGGAUAAAAGCUACCCUGGGAUAACAGGCUGAUCACUCCCAAGAGUUCACAUCGACGGAGUGGUUUGGCACCUCGAUGUCGGCUCAUCGCAUCCUGGGGCUGUAGCAGGUCCCAAGGGUUGGGCUGUUCGCCCAUUAAAGCGGUACGCGAGCUGGGUUCAGAACGUCGUGAGACAGUUCGGUCCCUAUCCGGCGUGGGCGUAGGAUAUUUGAGAGGAGCUGUCCUUAGUACGAGAGACCGGGAUGGACGGACCGCUGGUGUAUCUGUUGGCUACCAGAGCCAUGGCAGAGUAGCCAAGUCCGGACGGGAUAAACGCUGAAGGCAUCUAAGCGUGAAGCCCCCCUCAAGAUGAGAUAUCCGAUUCGCAAGAAGAAGGUCCCUUGAAGACGACGAGGUAGAUAGGCUUAGAGUGUAAGUGCAGUAAUGUAUUGAGCGGAUAAGUACUAAUCGACCGGAAGCUU